UCUUCUUUUUCCCCGAUUCAUCUUCUCUUCUCCUGGCCAAGCCCUAACUCUUCCUUCUCCUAUCUCGUCGACACCUUCGUUCCUGAUUUCCUUUCCUCCCUUUUUCCUCCAAUCGCCUAAGCUGGAUCGCAAUGCCUUCAGUGUCACCAUUCGGAUCUCGGAGACUAGCCAGGGAGCAACCACAGUUGUCGCGAGAGGCGAUGUCGUGGGACAUCGCAAGAGCCACAAAGCCCUCACCGUCGGUCGAAGCUCCUUUCCCCUGGUCCCCUGGCUUGUUGUGUGUGCCCUAGUCGGCUGAUUCAUCUCCUCAGUCACCAUUUGUGAUUCGAUUGUCGCUGGAGUUGCCUCGUCUCCAGAUGCCGCUUUAAUCAGAGGAAGGACUCACACCUCCACCAUCAGGGGCAGCACCUCCUUUCCCCUCUCUGUCGUAAGACAUCGCAAACCACAGCGCCGACGUUGUCGAUCACUGACAUUGUCCUUGGCAUAGCUGACGGUUGCCAUUGAUCUGAUCACAAGAAGAUUAUAGAUACCACCUACAUGAGGCGACCUCAUCGCGUACUAUAUCCGGCUACCAUAGUAGACCGACAUCCCUGAGGUGGUGAGGCUGUUGGAUGGAUUUAUCACUUCUGAAGAAAGAGCCCAGUUUCAUGCCAUAGAGAUUGAAGUCGCUUGGAGCAUCCUAUCUGUCAGUCCUAUGUCACAUCCGAAGACCAUUUCCGGUUUCAUUUAUGUUUUAUCUGGUUUAUGUAUUUGGUGGAUUUAGUAUUGUAUAUUCCGGUUUUGGUUCUGGAGUAUUGCUACGUGGUAUCGAGUAUUGUUUUGUUGUGUUGUGUAUGUUGGA